CUACUACAGCUCCUGGACCAUCCCUCCCGACUCCCUUCGUCUCCACUAUUUGUGACUGCCUGGGCCCCCACUCUGGAAUCCCCUCCUAAAACUGCUUUUUCUUUCUCCUCCAAAAUGCUUCUUUAAAUAAUAAUCUCUUCAAACAAGCUUUUGGUUGGUCAGUCCUCACAGGGAUUUCAGUUUCACACAGCUCCGGAUAGGAAGGUAGAACGCGCUACAGUGAGCGAAACGGCUGCUGUUAAAAUGGAAAUCGAUGUUGUCGAACAAUAAGAGUUAAAACUCCCUCAUAAUCUUGCUGGGACUGAACAGAUACACACGGACAAAGGUUGUCGACCCAUUACUUGCAAAGCCGCACUUUCUCAGUAACUUACCCACGACUUAAUUCCAGGAGAUUGGAGGCUCCCCUUAAGGCGGACAAGCAAAAUUCCUCGCCAGAUUUGCCCAAGUUAGCCUGGGGCUAUUGCCACGCAGCUCUGCCAAAGUGGGUGCGAAGCAACAGCCGAUUUCGAGCGGAAGCUGGCUCAGAGAAGUUUGGAGAGCAACAGGGACAGAGAGGAGUGGGAAGCAUCUAACGAGAAAACAAACACACCUAAAAGCUGAGCUUCCGCAGAAGGGGAAAAGAAAAACAAAACGCCAGGGAGCCGCCUAUGUGCACAGAGUGUGUGUGUGAGAGAGAGAGAGAAAGCUGUAGGAGAUUUAAAGUCGCAGUCCACUCCCAGUGUUGCGAGCCUUAAGCUCCAUCAGUCAGCACGGAGAAAAUGCACUGCUGGCUGGGUACAGACCACACAGGAUGCAAAACCAAGUGCAGAAUAAGGGUAAUUGGCCUAGGACCUGAGGAACUCCUGCAGAGACAUCCUGGAGCUGAGAUGACUGAUCUCCAACAACCAUGACCAUCUUCCUGUGUGCCAGAUGGAUCUACUUCUACCACCGGUCGUAGCUGGGAAAUCGAUGAUCAUGCCAAUGAUAGAUGCACUCAAUUAGAUGAACAAUCAGCAAAGUAGGCAUUAAUGAGUAGUGUUAAUCUGCCAUGCUAAAUUUUGGGGGGGGGGGGUUGAAAAACAUAUUAGAGAAAAUUAACUUGACACAAGAACUGGAGAUUUAAAUGAAAGGCAAGACACCAGAAGGGUGGUACGGUGGCUCAGUGGUUAGCAUUGCUGUCUCACAGCACCAGAGACCCGGGUUUGAUUCCAG